UUGGGACCUGGUGCCUGUACCGCCCUGGCUGC
rnacentral:piRNA from 1 species